rnacentral:tRNA from 1 species
GCCUCAGUAGCCCAGUGGUAGAGCGUUUGCCUAGUAUCACCACUCUUCCUGAGAGUGGGAUGCCAGCAAAAGGUCCAGUGUUCGACUCACUGUUGAGGCA